GAUCUCAAAUUAAGUAAGAAGACCCGCUGAAUUUAAGCAUAUAAUUAAGCGGAGGAAAAGAAACUAACCAGGAUUCCCCUAGUAAGGGCGACUGAAGCGGGAAGAGCUCAAAAUGUGAAUCUAAUAGCCUUAGCUGGCUGUUCGAAUUGUGGUCUACAGAUUUGGAUUUGGAGCGCGCGGCGGGAUAAGUCCAUUGGAACAUGGCGGCAGAGAGGGUGAGACCCCCGUUCAUGCCUUCCGCGUCAACCUUAACAUUCCUUAUCAAUGAGUCGAGUUGCUUGGGAUUGCAGCUCAAAGUGGGUGGUAAAUUCCAUCUAAAGCUAAAUAUUGGUGGGAGACCGAUAGCGAACAAGUACCGUGAGGGAAAGAUGCAAAGAACUUUGAAAAGAGAGUUAAAGAGUACCUGAAAUUGCUGAAAGGGAAGCGAAGGAAACCAGUGUCGAGUUUGUGCAUAUUACUGGCGCCUAGUGGCGUCAGGCCGUGUGCUUACUCGGGUCAGUAUCGGUUUACAUCUGGGGUGAAACGGUUGCCUGCGUUUUGCGCGGCUUCUCCGACUCCGGUAAGACCGAGGCCAGUCUCGCAAGAGCUCGUGAUACUGACGAAAUGGUUUUCUUUACCCCGUCUUGAAACACGGACCAAGGAGUCUAACAUAUGUGCGAGUAUAGGGGUGGCAAACCCCCAUGCGUAAUGAAAGUGACAGUGGUGGGACCUUUGGGCACCAUCCGCCGGCCUCUUGACUUCGGUCUAUCGGUCUGAGUGUGAGCAUACAUGUUGGGACCCGAAAGAUGGUGAACUAU
rnacentral:rRNA from 1 species